rnacentral:rRNA from 1 species
UAAAAUAAUUAAGGGCACACAAAGGAUGCCUAGGUAGUAAGAGCCGAUGAAGGACGUGGUAAGCUGCGAUAAGCCUAGAUAAGUUGCAAUCGAACGUAAGAGUCUAGGAUUUCCGAAUGGAGCAAUCUAUUAAGAUGGAGUCUUAAUACGAAAGAGGGAACCGCGUGAACUGAAACAUCUAAGUAACGCGAGGAAAAGAAAGUAAAAACGAUACCCAAAGUAGCGGCGAGCGAAAUGGGUCAAGCCUAAACCUUAAAUAUGUCAAGGAUACAGCCGUUGUAUUUAGGGGGUUGAGGGACAGAGUAGUGAAGAACUGUAAGAUAUUCAAUAUAGUGUAUUGAUGAAUUGGAAUUGUCUGGAAAGGCGAACCGUAGAAGGUGAAAGUCCUGUACAAGUAAAUCCUUACACAUAUAACUCUGCUCCCAAGUAACAUGGAACACGAGGAAUUCUGUGUGAAUCUGUGAGGACCAUAUCUCAUAAGGCUAAAUACUCUUACUAACCGAUAGCGCAUAGUACCGUGAGGGAAAGGUGAAAAGAACCCCUGGAGGGGAGUGAAAUAGAACCUGAAAUUGUGUGCUUACAAGCGGUCAGAGCCAGUAAUGGUGAUGGCGUGCCUUUUGGAGAAUGAUCCUGCGAGUUACGUUAAACGGCGAGGUUAAGUAUAACGGAGCCGAAGGGAAACCAAGUCUUAAUAGGGCGAUUUAGUCGUUUGGCGUAGACGCGAAACCUGGUGAUCUAAACCUGUCCAGGAUGAAGCUGUGGUAAGACACAGUGGAGGUCCUAACCCACCGCCGUUGAAAAGUUGGGGGAUGAGGUAGGUUUAGGGGUGAAAAGCCAAUCGAACCAGGAGAUAGCUCGUUCUCUCCGAAAUGCAUCUAGGUGCAGCCUUGAGUGUUCAAUUAUGGGGGUAGAGCACUGAAUGAUCUAGGGGGCGUAUUGCUUACUGAAAUCAAUCAAACUCCGAAUACCAUAAUUUAGAGCUCAGGAGUGAGACUAUGGGAGUUAACUUCCAUUGUCGAAAGGGAAACAACCCAGACCACCAGCUAAGGUCCCUAAUUAUAACUAAGUGGGAAAGGAGGUGGAGAUUCACAAACAACUAGGAGGUUGGCUUAGAAGCAGCCAUACCUUUAAAGAGUGCGUAAUAGCUCACUAGUCGAGAGUCUCUGCGCCGACAAUGUAACGGGGCUAAGUUAUAAACCGAAGCUGUGGAAUCCGUAAGGAUUGGUAGGAGAGCGUUCUGUAGGCCGUUGAAGGAGAAGGGUAACCGACUCUGGAGGUAUCAGAAGUGAGAAUGCAGGAAUAAGUAGCGAGAAAGGGGGCGAGAAUCCCCCUCGCCGGAAGACCAAGGUUUUCAGGGUAAAGCUUGUCUUCCCUGAGUAAGCCGGGACCUAAGCCCAGGCUAUAAUGCGUAGGCGAAUGGAAAACAGAUUAAUAUUUCUGUGCCAGUCAUAUAUUGUGAUGGAGGGACGCAGAAGGGUAUGCGCGCGGACGAACGGAAGUGUCCGUAGAAGUAUGUAGGAUGACUCGAUAGGAAAAUCCAUUGAGUUAUAUCUGAGGUAUGAUAUACAGUCGUAAGAUGAAUGCGCAAAUCCCACGCUGCCAAGAAAAGCUUCUAACGUUAAUAUUUGACUGCCCGUACUGCAAACCGACACAGGUGGUCAGGAUGAGAAAUCUAAGGCGGACAGGCUAACUCUCGUUAAGGAACUCUGCAAAAUAACCUCGUAACUUCGGGAGAAGAGGAGCCCUUGAGGGUCAGUAUCCACGCGAUACAAAGCGCUCGAGGGUCGCAGUGAAGAGGCUCAAGCAACUGUUUAACAAAAACACAGGUCUAUGCUAAGCUGGAAGGCGAUGUAUAUGGGCUGACACCUGCCCAGUGCUGGAAGGUUAAGAGGAGGAGUGAGAGCUCCGAAUUGAAGCCCCAGUGAACGGCGGCCGUAACUAUAACGGUCCUAAGGUAGCGAAAUUCCUUGUCGGGUAAG